UGUAUGGAUUUGAUGAUUUGUAAAUAAGGUAUCUGGUCAUGAAUACAAUUUUUUGUGUGCUCUGUCCGCGGACGCACGGGAGCGUCCGCAGGCGAUUGGGGCCAUAUUUUGAUACUUGCGGCUGUCGAUGCUCUUAUAUUCUAAGAAUAGUGGAAAUUAAUCAGACAAAACAUCACAGAUCAUAACAAUGCUACAAAUUAGCACCAAGAUAAAUUCACAACUGUGCCACUGUGACAAAAACCACACACACUCUGCACACCUAUACACACGCGUGGCGGAUAUAACACAGAGAUCGCCACAUGGCUGACUGCUGGUCUUGGUUCCAUCGACCAAUUCAUUGGAUUCGUUCCCCUUUCCCCAUUGUACUCGUACCGGAGAGAAAGCACGGCUCCAUCUUCGCGGUGGCUCAGGCUGCAGCUUGGCGGCGGAGCGGCUCUCGCUGUAGCUCGGAGGCACUGGGGCUCCAUCUGCAUCUUGGUGGCCUGACAGCUUGGAGGCACAGCGGCUCGCCGGCUCCAUCCACAUCUCGGUGGACCGGCAGCUCCUGCUACAGCUCGGAGCUACAGAUGGGGGUAUGGCGCCGCUGUUGCUUGUAUCAGCGAGCCAAAUCCUUGCAGUUGCUGUUAUCACUCCCCACCGAAGGUGGCGUCUGUUCUGGCUGUGCCGGCACUCCCUGAAGCUGGUGACUUUCCACUACAAGCGAGGCUCCAGCAAGACCAUGGCGGUCGCCGUUGCUGCUCAGGAAUGGAAGGCUCCCCACCCACCGAGACCAAAUACAUGCUGCUGGAGAAGGACCACUCAUAAGGAAUAUGUAUGGGAAAAGUGCACUUAAUCUACUACUCAAGGUCAUACGCAAAAGUUGGAGGGCUGUCGUAGAGCAAGUUCUAGAUGAAAGGGUGUAAUUUCUGUUUCAAUUGUUGCCAGUAUUGGAUUUUGUACUAUGGACAAAUGUAGACAACUGUGUUUCUUGUAUGUGUUGCCAUUCCAUUUUUGAUAUAUCUGCUACUCAAGUUAUUUCCUAAAA